UACGAAGGGGGCUAGCGUUGCUCGGAAUCACUGGGCGUUAAAGGGUGCGUAGGCGGGUCUUUAAGUCAGGGUGAAAUCCUGGAGCUCAACUCCAGAACUGCCUUUGAUACUGAGGAUCUUGAGUUCGGGAGAGGUGAGUGGAACUGCGAGUGUAGAGGUGAAAUUCGUAGAUAUUCGCAAGAACACCAGUGGCGAAGGCGGCUCACUGGCCCGAUACUGACGCUGAGGCACGAAAGCGUGGGGAGCAAACAGGG
rnacentral:rRNA from 1 species